GGAAGUCUGGUGCCAGCAGCCGCGGUAAUUCCAGCUCCAAUAGCGUAUAUUAAAGUUGUUGCAGUUAAAAAGCUCGUAGUUGAAUUUCGGGAUCAAUAUUUCGGUCAUGCCGUUGGUAUGCACUGUUAUCAUUGAUUUCUCACCUUCUAAAGAACCAUAAUGCCAUUAAUUUGGUGUUACGGGGAAUUAGGACUGUUACCUUGAAAAAAUUAGAGUGCUUAAAGCAGGCUCACGCUUGAAUACAUUAGCAUGGAAUAAUGAAAUAGGACGUUUGACCCUAUUUUGUUGGUUUCUAGGAUCGACGUAAUGAUUAAUAGGGAUAGUUGGGGGCAUUAGUAUUCAAUUGUCAGAGGUGAAAUUCUUGGAUUUAUUGAAGACUAACUACUGCGAAAGCAUUUGCCAAGGAUGUUUUCAUUAAUCAAGAACGAAAGUUAGGGGAUCGAAGACGAUCAGAUACCGUCGUAGUCUUAACCAUAAACUAUGCCGACUAGGGAUCGGAUGAUGUUAAUUUUUUAAUGACUCAUUCGGCGCCUUACGGGAAAC
rnacentral:rRNA from 1 species